AGCAGCCGCGGUAAUUCCAGCUCCAAUAGCGUAUAUUAAAGUUGUUGCAGUUAAAAAGCUCGUAGUUGAAUUUCGGGAUUGACGUGACGGUCGUGCCUUAAGGGGCGUGAACUGUCGCCGUUGAUUUCUCACCUUCUGGAGAAGCUCGAUGUCCUUAAUUGGAUGUCUUGUGGAACCAGGACCUUUACCUUGAAAAAAUUGAGUGUUUAAAGCAGGCAUUUUGCUCGAAUACAUUAGCAUGGAAUAAUAGAAUAGGACGGCAUGGUUCUAUUUUGUUGGUUUCUAGGAUCACCGUAAUGAUUAAUAGGGAUAGUUGGGGGCAUUAGUAUUCAAUUGUCAGAGGUGAAAUUCUUGGAUUUAUUGAAGACUAACUACUGCGAAAGCAUUUGCCAAGGAUGUUUUCAUUAAUCAAGAACGAAAGUUAGGGGAUCGAAGACGAU
rnacentral:rRNA from 1 species